rnacentral:rRNA from 1 species
UUUAUCGGUCAUGGGAUGGACUCGCGGCUAUCAGCUUGUUGGUGAGCUAAUGGCUCACCAAGGCGACGACGGGUAGCCGGCCUGAGAGGGUGACCCGGCCACACUGGGACUGAGACACGGCCCAGACUCCUACGGGAGGCAGCAGUGGGGAAUAUUGCACAAUGGGCGAAAGCCUGAUGCAGCGACGCCGCGUGAGGGAUGACGGCCUUCGGGUUGUAAACCUCUUUCAGUAGGGAAGAAGCGAAAGUGACGGUACCUGCAGAAGAAGCACCGGCUAACUACGUGCCAGCAGCCGCGGUAAUACGUAGGGUGCGAGCGUUAUCCGGAAUUAUUGGGCGUAAAGAGCUCGUAGGCGGUUUGUCGCGUCUGUCGUGAAAGUCCGGGGCUUAACCCCGGAUCUGCGGUGGGUACGGGCAGACUAGAGUGCAGUAGGGGAGACUGGAAUUCCUGGUGUAGCGGUGGAAUGCGCAGAUAUCAGGAGGAACACCGAUGGCGAAGGCAGGUCUCUGGGCUGUAACUGACGCUGAGGAGCGAAAGCAUGGGGAGCGAACAGGAUUAGAUACCCUGGUAGUCCAUGCCGUAAACGUUGGGCACUAGGUGUGGGGACCAUUCCACGGUUUCCGCGCCGCAGCUAACGCAUUAAGUGCCCCGCCUGGGGAGUACGGCCGCAAGGCUAAAACUCAAAGGAAUUGACGGGGGCCCGCACAAGCGGCGGAGCAUGCGGAUUAAUUCGAUGCAACGCGAAGAACCUUACCAAGGCUUGACAUGUUCUCGAUCGCCGUAGAGAUACGGUUUCCCCUUUGGGGCGGGAUCACAGGUGGUGCAUGGUUGUCGUCAGCUCGUGUCGUGAGAUGUUGGGUUAAGUCCCGCAACGAGCGCAACCCUCGUUCCAUGUUGCCAGCACGUAAUGGUGGGGACUCAUGGGAGACUGCCGGGGUCAACUCGGAGGAAGGUGGGGACGACGUCAAAUCAUCAUGCCCCUUAUGUCUUGGGCUUCACGCAUGCUACAAUGGCCGGUACAAUGGGUUGCGAUACUGUGAGGUGGAGCUAAUCCCAAAAAGCCGGUCUCAGUUCGGAUUGGGGUCUGCAACUCGACCCCAUGAAGUCGGAGUCGCUAGUAAUCGCAGAUCAGCAACGCUGCGGUGAAUACGUUCCCGGGCCUUGCACACACCGCCCGUCACGGA